rnacentral:rRNA from 1 species
CGUGGCUAACCUGCCCUUGGGACAGAGACACCCCCGGGAAACUGGGGCUAAUCCCUGAUAGGUGAAGAACUCUGGAAUGAGUCUUCACCCAAAAGACGCCUAGGCCACGCUUCUAGGCGCCGCCCAAGGAUGGGGCCGCGACCGAUCAGGUUGUUGGUGAGGUAACGGCCUACCAAGCCUUUUACCGGUACGGGCCGUGAGAGCGGGAGCCCGGAGAUGGGCACUGAGACAAGGGCCCAGGUCCUACGGGGCGCAGCAGUCGCGCAAACUUUGCAAUACACGAAAGUGUGACAGGGCUAUCCCGAGUGCCGUCCGCUGAGGGUGGCUUUUACCCAGUCUAGAAAGCUGGGAGAAUAAGGAGAGGGCAAGUCUGGUGUCAGCCGCCGCGGUAAUACCAGCUCUCCGAGUGGUGUGGAUGUUUAUUGGGCCUAAAGCAUCCGUAGCUUGCUGAUCAAGUCCCCUGUUAAACCCAACGAAUCAAUCGUUGGAUUGCGGGGGAUACUGCUCGGCUAGGGGACGGGAGAGGCCGACGGUAUUUUCGGGGUAGGGGUGAAAUCCUAUAAUCCCGAGAGGACCACCAGUGGCGAAGGCUGUCGGCUAGAACGCGCCCAACGGUGAGGGAUGAAAGCUGGGGGAGCGAGCCGGAUUAGAUACCCGGGUAGUCCCAGCUGU